GGGGAAGACACGAAAGUCGAGUGGAGGGAACUGAAGGAUCGACUGGGACUGGAGAGCGACAGCGCACUCGCGCGGCGUUUGUUGGACAGUUUCCAGGUUUCUGCAUCCCAGCCCCCCACCUGUACCUGUACCUGUAUGGUUGCUCCCAGGUCGUCCAGCCCACAGACUUUGUCACAGCCACCUACCUUUGAUGCUGGUGAUGUGUCUAGUGUGGGUGAACAUUCAGAAAGUGAAGAACUGGAGAGCAGCCUAUCCCAUCUCAAUGUCUGUGAUCCAGAGGAUGAAG